rnacentral:rRNA from 1 species
AACGCGAAGAACCUUACCUGGGCUCGAAAUGUAGAGGAAUCCGGCAGAAACGUCGGCGUCUAGCAAUAGAUCUCUAUAUAGGUGCUGCAUGGCUGUCGUCAGCUCGUGUCGUGAGAUGUUGGGUUAAGUCCCGCAACGAGCGCAACCCUUAUCUUCAGUUGCUACCAUUUAGUUGAGCACUCUGACGAAACCGCCUCGGAUAACGGGGAGGAAGGUGGGGAUGACGUCAAGUCCUCAUGGCCUUUAUGUCCAGGGCUACACACGUGCUACAAUGGUCGGUACAAACCGUCGCAAACCCGCGAGGGGGAGCUAAUCGGAAAAAGCCGGCCUCAGUUCGGAUUGGAGUCUGCAACCCGACUCCAUGAAGCUGGAAUCGCUAGUAAUCGCGGAUCAGAACGCCGCGGUGAAUACGUUCCCGGGCCUUGUACACACCGCAUAC